rnacentral:rRNA from 1 species
UACGUAGGUGGCAAGCGUUACUCGGAAUCACUAGGCGUAAAGCGCACGUAGGCGGUUCGUUAAGUCGGAUGUGAAAGCCCUCGGCUCAACUGAGGAAGUGCACCCGAAACUGGCGAGCUUGAGUACGAAAGAGGAUCGCGGAAUUCCCGGUGUAGAGGUGAAAUUCGUAGAUAUCGGGAGGAACACCGGCGGCGAAGGCGGCGAUCUGGGUCGAUACUGACGCUGAGGUGCGAAAGCGUGGGGAGCAAACAGG